UCGGAUUGCAGGCUGCAACUCGCCUGUAUGAAGUCGGAAUUGCUAGUAAUCGCGGAUCAGCAUGCCGCGGUGAAUACGUUCCCGGGCCUUGUACACACCGCCCGUCACACCAUGAGAGCCGGGAACACCCGAAGUCCGUAGUCUAACCGCAAGGAGGACGCGGCCGAAGGUGGGUUUGGUAAUUGGGGUGAAGUCGUAACAAGGUAUC
rnacentral:rRNA from 1 species